UGGGGAAUAUUGGACAAUGGGGGCAACCCUGAUCCAGCCAUGCCGCGUGAGUGAUGAAGGCUUUAGGGUUGUAAAACUCUUUCAGUGGUGACGAUAAUGACGGUAGCCACAGAAGAAGCCCCGGCUAACUCCGUGCCAGCAGCCGCGGAAAUACGGAGGGGGCUAGCGUUGUUCGGAAUUACUGGGCGUAAAGCGCGCGUAGGCGGGGUAUCCAGUUAGGGGUGAAAGCCCGGGGCUCAACCUCGGAACUGCCUUUAAAACUGAUACUCUAGAGUCCGGAAGAGGGUCGCGGAAUUCCCAGUGUAGAGGUGAAAUUCGUAGAUAUUGGGAAGAACACCGGUGGCGAAGGCGGCGACCUGGUCCGGUACUGACGCUGAGGCGCGAAAGCGUGGGGAGCAAACAGGAUUAGAUACCCGCGUAGUCC
rnacentral:rRNA from 1 species